AGAGUUUGAUCAUGGCUCAGAACGAACGCUGGCGGCGUGGCUAAGGCAUGCAAGUCGAGCGAACCUACCUUGAGGGUAACUGAAGGGUUGGUUAGCGGCGGACGGGUGAGGAAUACAUGGAUAACGUGCCCUGGACUCGGGGAUAGCGUUCCGAAAGGAACGGUAAUACCCGAUGACCCCGUAGGAUCGCAUGAUCCCGCGGGCAAAGUUCCGGCGGUCCAGGAGCGGUUCAUGUCCUAUCAGCUAGUUGGCGGGGUAACGGCCCACCAAGGCUGCGACGGGUACCGGGCGUGAGAGCGCGACCCGGCACAUCGGAACUGAGAUACGGUCCGGACACCUACGGGUGGCUGCAGCAACGAAUAUUCCGCAAUGGACGAAAGUCUGACGGAGCGACGCCGCGCGCAGGAUGAAGUCCCUCGGGAUGUAAACUGCUGUCAGGGGUGAGGAAAUUUGACCAGCCCCAGAGGAAGCCACGGCUAACUCCGUGCCAGCAGCCGCGGUAAUACGGAGGUGGCAAGCGUUGUUCGGAAUUAUUGGGCUUAAAGCGCGUGUAGGCGGGACCGAAAGUGUCGGGUGAAAGCCCUUGGCUCAACCAAGGAAUGGCUUGGCAUACUGCGGUCCUUGAGGCAGGUAGAGGUCGCUAGAACGACGGGUGGAGCGGUGAAAUGCAGAUAUCCGUUGGAAUGCCGGUGGCGAAAGCGGGCGACUGGACCUGUCCUGACGCUGAGACGCGAAAGCGUGGGGAGCAAACAGGAUUAGAUACCCUAGUAGUCC
rnacentral:rRNA from 1 species